UACAGAGGUCUCAAGCGUUGUUCGGAUUCAUUGGGCGUAAAGAGCGCGCAGGCGGCUGGUCAAGUCCGAUGUGAAAUCUCCCGGCUCAACUGGGAAACUGCAUCGGAAACUGAUCGGCUUGAAGAUGGGAGAGGGUAGUGGAAUUCCCGGUGUAGUGGUGAAAUGCGUAGAUAUCGGGAGGAACACCAGUGGCGAAGGCGACUACCUGGCCCAUUCUUGACGCUGAGGCGCGAAAGCGUGGGGAGCCGAACAGG
rnacentral:rRNA from 1 species